UAACAGAUGGAAACUUCUGAUAAUACUGGAUAAGUUAGUAUAUCGCAUGAUAUACAAAAUGAAAGCUACGGCACUAAAGGAGGGCUUUGCGUCCUAUUAGCUAGUUGGUAAGGUAAGAGCUUACCAAGGCGAUGAUAGGUAGCCGGCCUGAGAGGGUGGACGGCCACAAGGGGACUGAGAUACGGCCCUUACUCCUACGGGAGGCAGCAGCC
rnacentral:rRNA from 1 species